ensembl:lncRNA
UGAAAUAGUCCCAUGUUCCCACUGCUUCCUGUUUUGUUUCCCGACUGCUAUAACUCCACCUGGACUCUCUUCACCCCACUGGAUUCCUGCCGGUCCCAUCUCUGUGAACCUGCCUCGUCUCCCACCAGCUCCCGGAUUUGCUGAGCCUUUCUGCCACGUAGCUUCAACUUGUCUUGUAUUCUCUAACCCAUCAAGGCAUGGACUCCACUAGACCCCUGAAGGUGUGCUGUGGUAUCUGGCACCAAGAUGUUAGCAGCAGAUCCUUUAAGUCCUGGA